rnacentral:rRNA from 1 species
UACGGAGGGUGCAAGCGUUAAUCGGAAUUACUGGGCGUAAAGCGCGCGUAGGCGGCUUGGUCAGUUGGGUGUGAAAGCCCCGGGCUUAACCUGGGAACUGCAUCCAAUACUGCCAGGCUAGAGUACGAGAGAGGGGGUAGAAUUCCGUAGUGUAGCGGUGAAAUGCGUAGAAUAUUAGGAGGAAUACCAGUGGCGAACGGCGGCCCCCUGGUCUACUGAGCUGAGGUGCGAAAGCGUGGGGAGCAAACGGAUUGAGAUACCCGUAGUC